CCUGCUGGGUGGAUUAGUGGCGAACGGGUGAGUAACACGUGAGUAACCUGCCCCUGACUCUGGGAUAAGCGUUGGAAACGACGUCUAAUACUGGAUAUGAUCACUGGCCGCAUGGUCUGGUGGUGGAAAGAUUUUUUGGUUGGGGAUGGACUCGCGGCCUAUCAGCUUGUUGGUGAGGUAAUGGCUCACCAAGGCGACGACGGGUAGCCGGCCUGAGAGGGUGACCGGCCACACUGGGACUGAGACACGGCCCAGACUCCUACGGGAGGCAGCAGUGGGGAAUAUUGCACAAUGGGCGAAAGCCUGAUGCAGCAACGCCGCGUGAGGGAUGACGGCCUUCGGGUUGUAAACCUCUUUUAGUAGGGAAGAAGCGAAAGUGACGGUACCUGCAGAAAAAGCACCGGCUAACUACGUGCCAGCAGCCGCGGUAAUACGUAGGGUGCAAGCGUUGUCCGGAAUUAUUGGGCGUAAAGAGCUCGUAGGCGGUUUGUCGCGUCUGCUGUGAAAUCCCGAGGCUCAACCUCGGGCUUGCAGUGGGUACGGGCAGACUAGAGUGCGGUAGGGGAGAUUGGAAUUCCUGGUGUAGCGGUGGAAUGCGCAGAUAUCAGGAGGAACACCGAUGGCGAAGGCAGAUCUCUGGGCCGUAACUGACGCUGAGGAGCGAAAGCAUGGGGAGCGAACAGGAUUAGAUACCCUGGUAGUCCAUGCCGUAAACGUUGGGCGCUAGAUGUAGGGACCUUUCCACGGUUUCUGUGUCGUAGCUAACGCAUUAAGCGCCCCGCCUGGGGAGUACGGCCGCAAGGCUAAAACUCAAAGGAAUUGACGGGGGCCCGCACAAGCGGCGGAGCAUGCGGAUUAAUUCCCUGCAACGCGAAGAACCUUACCAAGGCUUGACAUACACCGGAAACGGCCAGAGAUGGUCGCCCCCUUGUGGUCGGUGUACAGGUGGUGCAUGGGUUGUCGUCAGCUCGUGUCGUGAGAUGUUGGGUUAAGUCCCGCAACGAGCGCA
rnacentral:rRNA from 1 species